AAUCAGCGAGAUUCCAUGGGCGUAGGACCCUCUGAGCCAGGUGUGGGAUAUAAUCUCGUGGUGCGCCGUUUUUUAAGCCGGUCUGAAAAGCGCAAUAUUUGGGUGGGAGUGACCCGAUUUUGCAGGUGCGUCCGUCACCCCUUUCUUUGACUCGGAAAGGGAACUCCCUGACCCCUUGCACUUCCCAAGUGAGGCAAUGCCUCGCCCUGCUUCGGCUCGCACACGGUGGGCGCACCCACUGGCCUGCGCCCACUGUCUGGCACUCCCUAGUGAGAUGAACCCGGUACCUCAGAUGGAAAUGCAGAAAUCACCCGUCUUCUGCCUCGCUCACGCUGGGAGCUGUAGACUGGAGCUGUUCCUAUUCGGCCAUCUUGGCUCCUCCAAAAAUUUUCCUACCAAGAGAACACCACACCUGACUGAUUUUUAGCUAUGACCUUCACUGCAAUGUUGAAUGGAAGUGGCAAGAAAGGAUAUCCUUGUUGUGUUCCUGAUCUCAGGAGAAAGGCAUUCAGUUUCUUACCAGUAAGUAUGAUGUUAGUUUUUCUGUAGCUAUUCUUUAUAAAGUUAAGUGAGUUCCCUCUAUUUCCAGUUUGCUGAGGGUGUUUUUUCUUUUUUAAUCUUGAUUAGGUGUUGGAUUUUGUCAAAUGCUUUCUCUGCAACAAUUAACAGGAUCAUAUGAUUUUUCUUCUUAAACCUGUUGUGGUGGGUUGUACUGAUUGUUUUUGAUAUACCUUGAAUAAAUCCCACUUAGCUAUUGCUAUGGUUUGAAUGUUUGUCUCCUCUAAAACUCAUGUUGAAAUUUAAUUGCCGGUGUAAUGGUAUUGGGAGGUGGAGUCUUUAAAAUGUUGUUAGGCCACAACAGAUCCACCCGCAUAGGAGUUUUAAUGCGUUAAAUAAAAAGUCUUCAGGAGCUCUCUCUCUCUCUCUCACCCUCUCACCUCUUGGCAUGUAAUAAUGCAGCAAGAAGGCCCUCAUCAAAAGCCAGCAGCUUGGUAUUGAACUUUCCAGUCUCUAGAACUGUAUGCCAAUAAGUGUCUGUUUAUUAUAAAUUAUAGAGUCUUUGGUAUUCUGUUGUAGCAGCACAAAAUAGACUGAAAUGGCUAUGGUAUAUAAUUCUUUUUAUAAAUUGCUGGAUUCAAUUUGCUUUGUUGAAGAUUUUUGCAUCUAAGUUAAUGACAGAUAUUGAUCUGUAGUUUUCUUUUCUUGUAAUGUCUUUAUCUGGUUUUGGAAAUAUGAUAAUGUUGACCUCAUAGCAUAAUUUAGAAAAUGUUAGUGCUCUAUUUUAUUGAAAAUAUUGUAACAAAUUAG
rnacentral:lncRNA from 1 species